AUCAAACCAAUUGACUCAU
rnacentral:snRNA from 1 species